rnacentral:rRNA from 1 species
AUUGAACGCUGGCGGCAGGCCUAACACAUGCAAGUCGAGCGGAUGAAGGGAGCUUGCUCCUGGAUUCAGCGGCGGACGGGUGAGUAAUGCCUAGGAAUCUGCCUGGUAGUGGGGGAUAACGUCCGGAAACGGGCGCUAAUACCGCAUACGUCCUGAGGGAGAAAGUGGGGGAUCUUCGGACCUCACGCUAUCAGAUGAGCCUAGGUCGGAUUAGCUAGUUGGUGGGGUAAAGGCCUACCAAGGCGACGAUCCGUAACUGGUCUGAGAGGAUGAUCAGUCACACUGGAACUGAGACACGGUCCAGACUCCUACGGGAGGCAGCAGUGGGGAAUAUUGGACAAUGGGCGGAAGCCUGAUCCAGCCAUGCCGCGUGUGUGAAGAAGGUCUUCGGAUUGUAAAGCACGUUAAGUUGGGAGGAAGGGCAGUAAGUUAAUACCUUGCUGUUUUGACGUUACCAACAGAAUAAGCACCGGCUAACUUCGUG